AUUGAACGCUGGCGGCAUGCUUUACACAUGCAAGUCGAACGGCAGCGCGGGCUUCGGCCUGGCGGCGAGUGGCGAACGGGUGAGUAAUGCAUCGGAACGUGCCCAGUAGUGGGGGAUAGCCCGGCGAAAGCCGGAUUAAUACCGCAUACGACCUGAGGGUGAAAGCGGGGGACCGAAAGGCCUCGCGCUAUUGGAGCGGCCGAUGUCGGAUUAGCUAGUUGGUGGGGUAAAGGCUUACCAAGGCGACGAUCCGUAGCUGGUCUGAGAGGACGACCAGCCACACUGGGACUGAGACACGGCCCAGACUCCUACGGGAGGCAGCAGUGGGGAAUUUUGGACAAUGGGGGCAACCCUGAUCCAGCCAUGCCGCGUGCGGGAAGAAGGCCUUCGGGUUGUAAACCGCUUUUGUUUGGGAAGAAAUCCUCUGGGCUAAUACCCCGGGGGGAUGACGGUACCGGAAGAAUAAGCACCGGCUAACUACGUG
rnacentral:rRNA from 1 species